rnacentral:lncRNA from 1 species
CUCUCAGCAAAGGCCCCUCUUUGGAUACUGAAAGGAGCACUGGGUAUCCUUGGCUUUAUCUCCACGAUCUCUGCAGUUUCUCUGAGCACUACCGUCGAAUACACAAUGGCCAAUAAGCAGCUCUUAGCUUUUUCAUUGAGGAUGGCAAUAGGAACUGUCACAGUUUUAAAGCCCACGUCCUCCUCGCUCCAAACCUGUGCUCCGUUUUAAUGACUUCGUAUGGCAUCACCCGUGUUUGGGGGAAGGCAGAGGAGUUUGCGAAGGGGCCCCACGCAGCGCAGACCGCUUAAGCCCAACGGUGGGCCCCAAAGGAGGCUCCGGGCUCCCACCCACGGCCCCGCUUUGCACUUGAAAGCACCAACGGCAGCACCGCCGUAUGGGCCAAAGGGCCCUUUGCGCAUGG